rnacentral:misc_RNA from 1 species
GAUGAAGAACGUAGCGAAAUGCGAUAAGUAAUGUGAAUUGCAGAAUUCAGUGAAUCAUCGAAUCUUUGAACGCACAUUGCGCCCGCCAGUAUUCUGGCGGGCAUGCCUGUUCGAGCGUCAUUUCAACCAUCAAGCCCUGCUUGCGUUGGGGUCCUGCGGCUGCCCGCAGGCCCUAAAAACCAGUGGCGGGCUCGCUAGUCACACCGAGCGCAGUAAUACAUCUCGCUUUGGGCGUGCGGCGGGUUCUUGCCGUUAAACACCCCCUUUUUACCAAGGUUGACCUCGGAUCAGGUAGGAAUACCCGCUGAACUUAAGCAUAUCAAUAAGCGGAGGA